GGAGGGGAUAUUCAUCUCAGAAACCUGCAGGCCAGGCUGGCACCUUCUAAGGCUGCACUGUCCAGCACGGGAACUGUCAGCCACGGGCCUGCCAAACAUUUGAAGAUGCAUGCUUGAAGACAAGUCUCCAAGGACUAAGCACGUUUCUCCGGUCUACCCAGGAGUCUGAGGGCAAUGCAAGGAUACGGGUUUUGAAAGUAGAUAGCAAAUGCUGGCUGCCAGAAAUCAGCCUGUACCAUGUUUAUUUAUUUAGGCCUUUGAUAGCUGGACAAGUGUUUAUUGAGUGUCUACUUUGUGCCAGUUAUUGGGCGCUUGACAGUGAAUACGAUCUUGUUUUUGCUUUCCUGGGGCUCACUGCCUCAAGGGGGAGGGAAUGAGAUACUUCUCAAGCCGUGUGGGGAGACUGUGGAACUAGAGCUCCCACAGGAAGGCUCCCCAAGACAGCCCUCGGCAGCCAGGGAAAGUUUCCUUGAGGGACUAGCUGGGCAGAACCCAUCAGGUGAAAGGGCAGGGAAGAGAUUGGUGGAAGCAACUUUCCGUGCAAAAGCCCAGGGGCAGGAAUGAGCUUGGCGAAUUCAGAGAAUUGCUAGUGUUUACAUUGGCUGGAGUGUGAAAUGUGGUGUGGGGGAGGGUUCAGAAAGAAAUUGUGAAGCCUGCCAGAUGGCUCGGGAGGCAAAGGUGCUCGCUGCCAAGCCCUGGAAACGUGGUAAGAGGAGAACACCAACUCCUGUUAAGUUGUCCUUUCACCUCCAUGUGUAUGUGUGCGCGACACACACGGGCUCACACGCACACACACCAACCCUCAUGCUCACACACAUACUCUCUGUCUCUCUCUCUCUCACACACAGAUAAAUCUAAAGAGACGUUUUAAAAAGAAAGAUUGGAAAAUAUUGGCGCAGGCCCGAUGGUAGUAAGCCUUUCAAGCAGAGGUGUGGAGUCUGUGUUUUGUGCUGUGGACGGUGGGAAGCGCCCAUCAGUGGUGUCACUGAGUUGAGUCGCAGCUGGGGUGCGAGUCCUCUGGGGAUGGCGGUGGGCUGAGGUGGUGGGAAGGGGAGGAGCAAGUAGAGUCAAGAACCAGUUCACGGCGCUGGAGCCCUUGCUCUGUGCAGCUCUGUCCCAGGAGACUUGUCUGCUGUGCCUUGGCCCCCUCCACCUCUCCUCUGCUCAGGCUCCCCCCUUGUCACUGCUGCCUGAAACCUCCAGGGUGAUCUGGGCUGUUUCCCACGGCCUGGGGGGACUGCUGUCCUCUGUCCAUCCCUCCCUCCUUCCAUCUGGGAGCCUCCACACUCACGUGGUUGUGACCCAUCUCUGUCCCUCCACUUGGGCAUUUUGCUGACAGUGGUAAAUGGCUCCACUGUGCAUGAGAAUGAAUUUAGACAAAUGUGGGAGCUGGUGUGUGUGUGUGAAGACUCUGGGCAGGGAACCUUCCCCUGGAAGCAUCAGGACCCAGCCUUAGCCUUUACCCUCGUGAGGGAGCCAGGAGGGCACGUCAUGACUGGUUCCUGUGAGGUAUCUUCUUGCUUAGUCAAUUUUUGAGUGAGGACUGGGAUGUCAGAGCAUCCCAAACUUUAAAACGAUGAGACACAGGCUGACUGAAGUUGGUCUAUGGUGACAGUGAUGUGUUGAGGACAUCGGAAAGGGGCUGCUUUGAGUAAAGACAUCAGCGGCCACGCUAGCUCAGACAGCUGACUGGGUAUUUCCUGGGAGAACGUGGCUUUGACUUGUGGUGCAGGGGGAAAAAUGUGUGUGUGUGUGUGUGUGUGUGUGUGUGUGCUUCCGGAUUUAAAGGAUUAGCUUGGUUCUUGCUCAUUUGUGGUUCACAUCUUAUUUUGGCCAUGGACCUCUGUUCUUGUUUGUCUGUCUGUUUCCCUCAAACUUUGUGUGUAUAAGCUGUGUUGAUGUAGAACCCCAGGCUCAUCCAUGGCAAGCAAGCAAGUUACCACUGGGUCACACCCCAGGCCGAGGAUGAAACAGGUUUACAGUCAUUAAGGCGACCUGUCAUUGCUGGGCCCCUGGAAGUGGCCAGCUAUUGCUGUGACCUGUGCCCACCGAGACCGAACACAGUGAUGGGUGAGAAGGCUGGCCACAAUAGUGAACGGUGGGAAACGGAAGGGGAUUGUGCUGGGAACCGCUUUUGUCUGUCUGUCUGUCUGUUUGUUUCUGAUCAAGUGGCUUCCCACUUGGGGUGUCAUUGUACACACACAGCUGUGCCUCCUCUGCUUUCCCCUGCCAGGGUGAGGCUCUGCCAGGGGGUGUGUCCCAAUCACCCCCUGAAGUGACUUCAAAGGAGUGUCCCACCUGGUGUGAGUCAGGAUGUGGGGAGAAGAGCCAGGACUGAAGCCAGGCACAGGCCCGGGCAGACUCAGGAGGCCAGUCCAGCUACAUGUCCCAGACUCUCCUGGAGCUGGUGACUCUCCUGCCUCGACCUUUCAAGCGCUGCUGGGAUUACAGGCGUGCCAGCACAUCGGUUGCGUCCAGUUCCUGCUGGCACUGGGAGCUGCUCCCUAGGCAUGGUGCUUGGCCUCUGGCUUCUGGG